AGUGACAAGGUGAGACUCCGUCUAAUAAAAAAAUGAAAAUGAAAGCAUACUGGAGAAUGGAGAACAUUCAGAGCCACUUAAAGCUCAAGAGAGUCUGCUUCAGGAGCUCAGACAAAAAGGUUGGUAGAAGAACAGCCUGGAGUAGGGGAGCUGCACAUCCAAGCAGAUGGAAAUGGGUAGUAGUUGGAGAAGGAGGAGGAAGGGAACCUGAUGUUGCAGAGUGAAAUGAUGGUACGUGGUGAAAUGUUGGCAGCCAGAGCAGGGUUGGGCUCAUCUGUGUGAACCUGGUUCCCAGUCUUGUCAAAGGUUCAACUUAUCUCAUGGCCCAGCUUUCCCCUGAAGACUCUGCAAUACAGAGGUUAUGGACCUGAUCCGAGGAAGUUGGGAAGUCCACAUGAAAGCGAUGAAGAAAGAGUGACCUUGGAAGAUGGAAGGACUGGUCUAAGGCUCCACAAUUAGGAAGUCUCUAGACAUGACUCUCUUGGUUCUCCUGUGCCUUCUCUAUUUCCUCCAGAAGCUGCUCUGUAUUUGACAAGAAGUAGAUACUAGUCAAGAUUCAUUUCUUUUACUUUUGCUUUCUUUUUUGUCUUUUUUUGGUGGGGGGAUACCAUCUGCUUCCUGGCUUAUAUGAUCAACUUUAUAUGAAUAGGAAAGACCAUGGACUUAGUUGUCAGACAGUCCUGGAUUUGAAUAUUUGAUCAUUCACUUUGUAUAACUUACAAACAUGUCACACUGAUUUUAGAUAAGUUAAUGGUCAUUUAUUUAUUUUAUUAUUUUUAUUUGUUUCAAGAUGGAGUUUCACUCCUCUUGCCUAGGCUAGAGUGCAGUGGUGCAAUCUCAGCUCACUGCAGCCUCUGUUUCCUGGGUUCAAGUGAUUCUCCCACCUCAGCCUCCUGAGUACUUGGGAUUACAGAUGCACACCACUACGCCCAGCUAAUUCUGUAUUUUCAGUAGAGACUGGGUUUCGCCAUGUUGGCCAAGCUGGUCUCGAAUUCCUGAUGUCGGGCCAAUUGCCCGCCUUGGCCUCCCUAAGUGCUGGGAUUACAGGUGUGAGCCACUGCACCUGGCCAGUUAAUGGUCAUUUAAAUGAUCUGUGAACCCAAAUGGCUUCAGGGAUGAAGGAGUUAAGGUUGUAACUUAUGAUAAUAUUGAACAUUAAAAAUCAAUGACCGAAGCUUCCAACUCAAGAAACUAAAAAUAGAAUAGCAAAUCAAAUCAAGGUAAUGUACAAGAAGGGAAAUAAUAUUGAUAGGAAUAAAAAAAUCAAUGAAAUAUAAAUUAAAUUUAUAUGAGAAAAUUAAGAAAACAUAGAACCCUGUUAUUUGAACAGGUGAAUAAAUCUCUAGGAAAACAAACAAACAAAAAAGAUGGAAUAUAUAAAAUGCCAAUACAAGGACUUAAAAAGUGGUAUUGUAACACAUCUUGUAAACUUUGAAGAGUUAGUAAAAUUGUAUUAAGAAUAACAUUGUGUCAAUAAAGUUGUUAAUUUGUAUUAAAUUAAUAACUUUUUUGAAAACAUGGUUUAUCAAAACUACCUCAAGAAGACUUAGAAAGUUAAAAGUUUUUUACUUACAAAUUGAUUUUUUUUUUAAUUUAAAAUCUUUGCUCUUCUUUCCCCUCAAAAAUUCCAGGUCCAAAUGCUUUUUGUAAUGUUGGGGUUUAGAACAUCAUACACCAAAGUAUCGUGCCUUGCCGUGCUGUCUUUGAGCUCAAGAAAACAAAAGGGCCUCAGAAGUGAGGUCUCUCUGACCUUCUUCCAUCCUUUUGCCUCCUGCCCCACUUUCUCCCCCAAAGCAAGCCAUAAAACCUAGAAAGAACAGUCUGUGACCUACUUUUCCUGAAAGUAGGUCAUAAGACCCUCCUGUGACAGAUGCCCUGCCCUAUGCCAAGAAGAAAGAAAUGUUGCACAGAUAGGCCAAGAAGACUCUGAACACAGGCCUUACUCAGUUUAUUCCCAUUAGAGCAUACAUUUUUGUCCAAUCAUAUUUCUAUAAAAUUACCCACUUCUUUGAUUAGAUUUAGCAUAGAAACAGAUGGCUUCCCUGGGUCUUUUGGUUUUCAUUUCUGAAGGAUCCCAUGUCACAUAAAACCUUGAUUAUAUAUAAAUUUCACCUGUGAAUCUUGAAAUGGGUGAGGAAAACACAACUUUUUUCUCCUCUAGUAUAAGAAGUAACAUUCACUUGUAUAAACUUUUCUUGGGAACUCAAAAAAGGAAACACUUCCAGUUUAGUUUAAGAGGCUAGUAUAAUAUUUUUCUUUUUGCUUUUUGUUUUUAUUUUUGUUUGUUUGUUUGUUUGUUUGUUUUGAGACAGAGUGUUGCUCUGUCGCCCAGGCUGGAGUGCAGUGGU